ensembl:snRNA U6 U6 spliceosomal RNA
GUGUUCCCUUCUGCAGCACAUAUACUAAAAGUGGAGUGAUAGAGAAGAUUAGCAUGGCCCCUGUGUAAAGAUGAUGUAAUGAAUAUGUAAAGAGCUCAAUGUGGAC